GUCAGGAGUUUAAGACCAGCCUGGCCAACACGGUGAAACCCCAUCUCUACCAAAAAACACAAAAGUUAGCCGAGUGUGGUGGAGUGCACCUGUAGCACCAGCUACUCAGGAGGCUGAGGUGGGAGAAUCACUUGAAUCUGGGAGGCAGAGGCUGCAGUGAACUGAGAUUGUGCCACUGCCCUCCAGCCUGGAUGACAGGGUGAGACCCUGUCUCAAAAAAAAAAAAAAAAAAAAAAAAAGAUUCUGGCUGUGGCAGAUUGCUUAAGUGUAUAUAGAUAUAUGUAGCCUUGAAUAAAGAAGUGUGAGUACUCCACCAGCUGAACACUUAACAUGAAUUAUUCUUAGUAUAUAACUUAUGUGAUCUUGCCUACCAAUAAACAUUUGAGAAAAAUGUUUAAUUCUAAUAAGAUAACAGAACCCAAAUUGAGUUCUGUUGAGAAACCUUUAUCAUGGCUUGCAAUAUUGUUGGAAAUUCUUAAUUCUAAUCUUGUUUUUAUUGAUGUAACAUGGGGUUUUUUUGUCUUAGAAAUGAGGAUUGCAAGACCUUUAUGACAAUUGCUAGUUUAUUUCUUCAUGGUGUGAUACGAUAAUAGGAAUUUCCAGAAAUUCCCCUCCUGGCUUUUGUCCUUAAGAAGUAUUUUACUUUUCUUUUCAGAAAGUACAGUAACAUCUCAAGCAGCCUGUUAAUGCUUAGGAAGGGAUAUCAUUAAAUGGAUUGAUCUUAAACAUCAUCAACCAAAUGUAGAUAACUAGUUCAAAGUCAGCCAUAUAUUGAAAAUGUUUAGUCUAGUUUAUACCUAACAUUGAUAAUUGAUAUGAUAUUCAUUCUAAAUUUCAUGGCCAUUGUGUAUUUGUUUCAGGAGUUAGGAAUACAAAAUUAGUAAGUUAUGGUCGUUGUCUUCAAAUAAUUUAGAGAAGAUUGUAGGAGACAAUAAAAGAUUUAUAAAUAGUAGUGAUAAUCAUCACACCAAAUGUUCCAGAAACACCAUUGGAAGUUUGAAAGGUGUCCUGUGCUCCUAAUAAAAUAUUCAGAUUGUAAUUGCAAUACAUGAAUAAUGUAUAUGAUUUAGAUUACUCUAGGACAGCAGAAGAGUUUGUAAAAUGUGUAUAUUCUGAUUUUUUUUUUAGCUGACUAAAAAAGCUUAAUGUUCACGGGAUAUGAUCAAGUAACUUGAUUUUUAAGAAUUUUCACCUAUCUAGUUCAAAUUUUAUUUAAAGAAAAUAUUAAAAUGUAAAGGUGGAGUGAUUGUGUGAAUCUGAAGGAACAAAGGUGAAGGUAGGUUUCCUAAUAUUUUUAUUUUUCCAUUGCUGAAAACUUAAGGCUUCAUGUGAGAAAUCCUUGGUCAGAACUGCAUUAAUGAUCACUUUUCUGAACCAUUUCUUCCCUUCCUGAAGAAAAACAGACAUACAGAUGUUGCUUGGUUAAAAUGGAAUAGAUUUACCAAAAAUAACAGUUUAAUCCAUUUCCUGUAACUUGUAAGGUUCCCUAUGAAAUCAAGCUUUUCCAUUCCUCACUAUGACUUAUGAAACUGAUUAAUCUAGUGUCUGAUAUACAUUUUUUGUAUUAUAGAACAUUAAUACAUUUGACAGCAGUGACUGAUGAGUUGAUUUCUUUAGAAAGAAAACAUAAAUGAUAAUAGCUCCUAUUAAAAAACAAAACAAAAACAAAACUCAGGACUACAUGUCUCCUAAGAAUACAUAGUUUAGCCUGGUGGCUAAACCAGCCUUUUCAGCUCUUCAUUCUUUAUUUAUUAUUUUUCACCCAUAAACAUUUUCUUUUUUAAGGAGUUCUAAGACCAGCCAGGCGCAAUGGCUCAUACCUGUAAUCCCAACACUUUGUGAGGCCAAUGCAGGCAGAUUACUUGAGCCCAGGAGUUCGAGACUAGCCUAGACGACAUGGCGAAACUCCAUCUCUACAAAAAAUACAAAAAUUAGCUGGGUGUGGUAGAUCAUACCUAUAGUCCCAGCUGAGGUGGGAGGAUCACUUGAGCUGGGGAGGUUGAGGCUCCAGUGAGCCGUAAUGGUGCCACUUGCUGCUGCACUCCAGCCUGGAUGACAGAACGAGAGCCCGUCUUUAACAAAAAGAGCUCUAAGACCCAUAAACUGCCAUCUGGAACUUUUAGCAUGAGAAAAUGAGGUUAACACAUUGAAAUGGUUAUAAUUUCAUUCAAAAGCUAACUAAUACUGAGUAUUUCCAGCGUGCUGCCAUUGUCUUAAAUACCUUAUGUUAACUUACUGAACUUCAUACUAACCCUGUAAAGUAAGUAUAAAUAUGGAUACUAGACACAUAUAUUUUAGUCUAAGGCCUGCCAACUAGAAGUCGCCCGUCUAGUAUUGAACCCAGGUAGAUCUGAUACCAGAACUCAUUUUUUGUUUGUUUUACGAGAUGGGAUCUUACUUUGUCGCCCAGGCUGGAGUGCAGUGGCACGAAUUCCUAGGCUCAAAGCAAUUCUCCUGCCUCAGCCUCCCAAAGUGCUGGGAUUAUAGAUUUGAGCCACCGUGCGUGGCCCAGAACUCAUAUUAAACACCACUGUGUACUGCCUUCUGGAUUUUACUUGUUCUGUGCAGUCAGGUAAAUGUCAUUAGGUUUCUUUGAAAAACUGGGAUACUAUUCACUAGCUGGUUAUGCUAAUAGUUUCUCUAGCCCAGGACUGUAGGUGGGGCCAACAACUGGUAUUCCAGAAAUAAGAAUAAAAAUUAUUUUCUGUUGUGAUAUUAAGAUUAAUGAUAGCCUCUGAAUAGCUCAGAAACUUCCGUUUUGUAAACUGUGUGCUGUCAGUAAGCCUUCACUAGUUGAACAAUGCCCUUUUUGAAACUUUACUAAUUUCUCAAACUGCUUUUUUUGUGCUUGUGACUUUUGUCACACAUUUACUAAACAUUUUGUGAUUCAACACUUUUGCCAGUUUCCAAUUAUCUCCUAGUUAGAGUGUUUCAGAAUUUGUUUCAAAUUGUUUUUAAUAAAAUUGAGCCAGGCUGUGAUAUUUUAUCUGCAACUUACUGCAGUUUUACGUGUAAUUCAAUUUUAUCCUUAACUUCUUCUCUCCAGAUUGGAGUUCUUAUUCUUUGAAGUCAAAAGCCACUUUAUUUCUGUGAAUACUUCCUUUGCACUGUUUUGUACCUUCCCUGGCUUUCUAUUACGUCUUUGAAGUGGCUACUGGAAGGUAAUGAAGUAUGCUGGAUGCAUAUGUAUUAACCAUGGUUUUGUGUUGUGUUAAUCAUCCUUAAAAAAAAAAAAAUCCUUCCAAAUUAUCCCUAGUUGAGUUGUUAUCUUUCUGUUUGUGUGUGUGUGUUUUAGAAGUGAGGCGUUAGGCCGGGUGUGGUGGCUCAUGCCUAUAAUCCCAGCAUUUUUGGAGGCCGAAGUGGGUGGAUUACCUGAAGUCAGGAGUUCAAGACCAGCCUGGCCAACAUGGUGAAACCCCGUCUCUACUAAAAAUACAAAAAAAUAGCCAGGCGUGGUGGCGGACGCCUGUAAUCCCAGCUACUCUGGAGGCUGAGGCAGGAGAAUCUCUUGAGCCCAGGAGGUGGAGAUUGCAGUGAGCCGAGAUCGCACCAUUGCACUCCAACCUGGACCACAGAGCAAGACUCCAUCUCCAAAAAAAAAAGAAGUGGGGCAUCAUUGCCAUUUCACUUUAUGAUUUGCCUAGGCAUGCAUCAUAGAAGAAAGCUAAAACAGGGCCAGAUGCGGUGGCUCAUGCCUAUAAUCCCAGCACUUUGGGAGGCCGAGGUGGGUGGAUUAUGAGGUCAGGAGUUCAAGACCAGCCUGGAAAACAUAGUGAAACUCCAUCUCUGCUAAAAAUACAAAAAAUCAGCCAGGCAUGAUGGUGCAUGCCUCUAAUCCCAGCUACUCGGGAGGCUGAGGCAAGAGAAUCACUUGAACCUGGGAGGCAGAGGUUGCAGUGAGCCGAGAUCAUGCCACUGCACUCCAGCCUGGGCGACAGAGCAAGACUGUCCCAAAAAAAAAAAAAAAAAAGAAUAACCAGAAUUUAUUUCCUGGUAGUUUUUCACUAACUUUGAUUCCUGGAGAAAGGCUGUAGUGGAAUUCAUAAGGAAAGUUAAAUGGCAUCCUGGUUUCCUGUUAACUUUGAGAAAACCUAUUGUCUUAUUUAUUUAUUUAUUUUUUUUUUGAGACAGAGUCUCGCUCUGUCGCCAAGGCUGGAGUGCAGUGGCUUGAUCUUGGCUCACUGCAGUCUCCGCCUCCUGGGUUCAAGCAGUUCUCCUGCCUCAGCCUCCCGAGAAGCUGGGACUACAGGUGUGCACUACCAUGCACGGCUAAUUUUUGCAUUUUUAAUAGAGAUGGAGUUUCACCAUGUUGACCAGGCUGGUCUCAGAACUGCUGACUUCAAGUGAUCCGCCCACCUUGGCCUCCCAAAAUGCUGGGAUUACAGGCAUGAGCCACCUCACCCAGCCAAGAAAAUUUGUACUCUAAUAGUGACAGGUCAUAUGUAUAUCUUGUUGAUUGAAAAUAGCCAGCAAUAUCAGAACUGGGACUUACUUAAUGACCUGGAAGGUAUUAAUGAAAGCCAGAUUGGCUGUAGUUAUAUUUAGCACCAAGACCAACUUCAGAAUUUCAAAUGGAUAUCUAUCUGACUUACAAGGUGGCCUCAGUUGCUUUGGGGUUCCAUCUAGCUGUGUUCUGCCUGGGAUUAGUUACAGAAUUUAGUUGCUGUUCAGUCAAAGCCAGUGGGUGAUAGCAGCAGUAAUCUUCAGGUCAUUUCAGCUGCCUUUUUUCCUCCCGGUUGUUAUUCUUGAUCCUUUAUUUUUGACACAGUUGGAUAAACUUCCAAACUGUUCUAGCUUUUGCUGGUUCUGUUUGAUCCAUAAUUCCGUGUAUUUUGUUGGCCCUAUAACACCUCUUCCCAUGUCUUUUUGUCCCUCAUUAGGGGCUUCAUCCAUUGGUUGGGGCUCUACUGGAUUUUAAUAUACUCUCAAGUCAUAUCUGUAACCCCAGUCUUUCACUCUACAAUCUCGUAUGUGCCUGUAGAUCAUGUGAAACUUGAUAAUGUUAAAAGACAGUUAAAAACAUUUGUUCACUUAGAAACAUGUAGUGAAUAUCAGUGUUCCAGGUGCUGGCACUGUGCUGUCACGGGUAUACAGGGGGAACAUCUGGCAAAGGAAACAAAACCUUGUAGGCUUAGCCAUGAAAAUUGUGAGUUUGAGAAGCACCUUUUGAUCCCACCAAUUGAAAUCUUAAUAGUUCUUUUGUUGAAUUUUCUGUUAAGUCGUGGUGACUCUUCUCUAUGAUGUCUUUUUCUUAAUAUCUGUAGUCAUUAAUCCAGUAUCCUAAGGUGGUGGUUUUUAACCUUUAUUUUAGGAUAAUGACUUGGAACCAAUGUAGAAAAAAAUACCAGACCAGCCAUAAGAAAUAACAGCUAUAAUUUAGUACUUGAUUGGAGUUGUAAUCAGUUGAUUAGAAAACUUACAUUAAAAAGGUUCUAGGAAUUCAGCAGUAUUUUGUAAGUGAAUUAUAUUUUAUUACAACAGCUUUUAUAUCAGAUUCAGACUAUAUUGAAUGUUAGAAGGUCAUUUUUAUGUUAGAUAUUCUAGGUACUGAAAAUACGUCAGUGAGUAAGACAGGCUUUCUCCUAUGGAGCUAAUGUUCUGUUAAAGGAGACAAAAUUAAUUCAUAUUUAGUCUGUUUAAUAUAUUCCAAAAUCCAAGACUUAAUAGGGUAAGAAGCACUGCUGUGGGCUUUAAAAGUCAGUUCCUAGAUUAUUAUUCCUCUUCCUCGUCAUCCUGCCCAAUCCCUCAUACUACCCUAUUUGUCCUACACAGUUGUCAUAAUCAUCACACAGACACCCAUGUGCCUACUAUGUCAUGGUGUCAAGUUUAAAUUCUUGAAGUUUGAGACCUUUCAUAUACUUCCUUGGCAUCUUAUGUUUCCUUUAAACCUUUUAUUAAUUUCCCAAUCUGUCUGCAAUUCUGCCUAAGACUUUUCUGUCAUCCUUAGGAAGGUUAUGCUGAUUUUUUUCCCCAUACUUUGGUCCACCUUUCUUUAACCCAUUACUUUUUAGCAAUUAUUUUGGCAGUUAUUUCAUUUUCCUAAGACAAAGAUUGGAAUGUAUUGUCACUGAUGAAAUAAUAGAAAUAUAUAGUUGAGCCAUGUACAAAAUAACUUACAGGCUCCAACCAGUGGCCCUCUUCAGGGGGUAUUUGGAAUCAUUUAAGUGACAGUUUGACAGGAAAUUUGGACUAAUCUUAGUAUCUGGAUGCUGUGGGUAACAAAAUCUGUAAAUAGAAAAUAUAAAAUGGUUAGAAUUAGUCCAUAUGAGAGUUUACAUUCAGAGGUUUGGAGGGCAAAACUGAUGAUUUCCUGCUCUUGACUAUUAUAGAGCAGUCUCUUGUUUCACAGUUGUCAAAAUCCCACUUCAUGAACGCUCACAGACCAAAUGGCAGAAAACAACCCAGUUGUUUUCCCAGUUGUUUCUAUUCCUAAAAAUUGCAUAGGUGGGUACAUAUUGUAUUCUGUUGUGUUUUCUGAAAGCAAAGGUACUGUCAUGUUAUUGUGGUCUAUGUGCAUAUCACUGUAGUUAUCCAUGCUAUAGGUAAAACUGUUGAAAAUAAUUAUUUAAUUGUGGUGAUAAACUGCCUUAGACGGAGUCUGUUAGACGUGCCUUCUUAUGGUGUUUAUGCCUUAGCUGUCUCUUCCUGGGGAAAUUAAUGUAUGAAAGAAAGGCUUCUUGAUAUUUUGACCUUAGACUUGAUAUCUAAUCCAACACCCUUCCUCCCCCAUUUAUAGGAAUAGUACUCAUUCAUUGAGUACUAUUAUAUGCCAGACACACGAAGCUAGGUGCUUUGUAUUAUCUUUAUAUCCACAAUAACCUUGAUUUAGGUAGUAGUAUCCCUGUUUUACUGUGAGAAAACUGAGGCCCAGAAAGGUUAAGUGAUAAUUGUAUGGCUAGUUUGUGAUAACUAUAGAUACUACAACUAAAAAUUUACCUUUCUGGUUUUUUUUUCUCAUUCUUACCUUUCUCUAGAAAUACAUAUUUAGCUCUUUAGAGCUAGUUACAAUACAUUUUUUUAUGUUAGACUUACUGUGUGGGGAGUUUUGAAUUUAAAAACUAAAAAAAAAAAAACCAGAAAGUUUAUUCUAAAGGUUUAAAUUUUUAAAAUUUAAUCUGCUGUUGUGUGCUUCUAUUACCCCUGACCUUAGCUUUGCAGGAUACUUUCUUUUCCAUAUUUUGUGAUUGAUAUAUGUGUGAUUCUUUGUAUGUACAAAAGCUUGAGCUUGAGUUUUUUAGAGGAAAGGAAUAAAAUAAAUUAAGUUGGUUGAAUUAAGUAUGUCUUGGUGGAUUUGGUUAUCCCCACAGCAAACUUGAGCAUUCAGUUUACCCAUGAUUAAAGGUACUGAUACUAUAUAUAAGGGCAUUCUGCCUUCCAUCUCUUUUCUAAUAUAAGUAGUAUUAAUUGAUGCCAGGCAAGAGGAGUGCUGCCAUAUUUGGGUCAGCUACUUAGUCAAGAGAGUAUUUUGCAGAACGUACCUGAAGCUAUUCUGAAAGUUAAGUAUCAUUAGAUACAUUGUCAAACUCUGAAGUUGAAAUUCCAGCCAUUCAGGGAGCCCCUCAGGGAGAUCACUGCUUUUCCCUUGCAAAAAUAAAAAUAGUAGCGUAUAAAAUACUAUUUAAAUAUAUACUCUGUCUAAUUCUAAUAGCUAGUAUUUGUUAAGUGCUUAGUAGGUGCCAAGUGCUGUUUAAAUUGCUUUUUAGGCUCACACCUGUAUAAUCCCAGCACUUUCGGAGGCCAAGGCGAGAGGAUUGCCAUCUUGAAAUUUUUUAAAGUACUUUUUAGGUGUUCUUUAAAAUAAUUCCACUUUACAGAUGAAGACACUGAGGUGCAGGGAGGUUUAAUUCACCAUUUUUUUUUUUUUUCAAGUUUACAGCAAGUAUUUAGUCAUUGAGCCAUCAUUCAAAUCAUAAUAACUAGUCUUUAUAAAAUAGAGCCCCAAAGUACUACAGAUAAAAGGUUUUUAUUUUGCUUUGCUUUUUAACUUUGGUGUUGUCUCUUUCCCUUUCUUUCUUCUCCCCUCAUCUUCUCUCUACCCUAUGAUCUGUUUUGGAUUUUUCUCGUUAUAUAUAAGCUUUAACUUUUGCUUUUCUUCCUUUUUUUUCCCCCUUUCUUUUUGAAUGGUUUUAGCAUCCUUGGGAGCAGAAAACUCUGGAAAUGUAUUCAUAAGUUUAGAAAUUAUAUAAGACACUUCAGAAUAAUGAUACUUAAUUGUUUUAGAAAUUUCCAUUUUGAAUUAUAUUGUUUAGGAGGAGGGCUAUUAAAGUGUUCUCUGCCAAUUUAUGAUACAUUUUAGAUUUCCCAGUUUUUUUCUGGAUAUCUGUCAGGAGAUGGUGUAGAGGUUUGGUAAGUAAUACAGUUUGAUUUUGUAUGUCUCAAGGGUUACUCAUUCAGUCACAUAUUUGAGUUUAUUUUAUUCUGGCCUUUUUUCCCCCUGGGGAUUCUAUUUAUAGUAUUGAAAAUCUUUUAAAGCUAAUUUUGAUUUUUUUUCCCACUAGCAUGUAUUGGAGCACUCAGGCUUGAAGAAGGACAUAGGUAAAAAGUAUAAAAUGGAAUAUUUUCUAACAUUAGGGUUGUGAAAAUUUUCUUAUUGUUUAGUUGCAUACUUGGCAUAUUCAAUCUGAAAAAAAAUUGUUUAUAAAACAAUUUAAAUGAUAUUGUUUAAGCCAAAACAGUUAUUUAUAUUUCAGUUCUCUUUUAUUUUUAUAAAUAGAGCAUCAGUUCCCUUAAUCACGAAGGUCAAGAAAGGUUAUCUCAUGUUACAUUAGGACAUACUUAGGACUUCAUAGUAUUUCCCUUCUGUGUGAAAUUUUAUCCAGAAGACUUGAAUUACUUAAUUGUAAAGUGAAUAGCAAACGUGAAUCUAAAACAUGGUUUCAGUUUUUCAGAAUCAGGCCUGCUUUGUCCCUAAAUGCUUUCUUAUUUCCCCAGAACCCUUAUUGGAUUUAAGCCCCAUAUCAUAUCUCACAUACCCGAGACAGACAUACCACAGUGAACCUUGCAUGUCCUUGUAAGUUCUUUUCUAUGCCUAGAAGUUGUAGAAGACCAAGGAACCUUGGAAGUGACUUACUCUUUUGCUUCAUAAAGUUGCUUUAAAACAGCCUUUAUUUUAAUAUAUUAACAAGGUAUGUCACAGAUUUUUAAAUUUUAAGGUUAAUUUAGUCAUUAAUUCUGUCAAACAAGUGUUCUUUGGAAACUAGGUAUCCUCAAUGUCUUUUACUUGGAGUUACUUGAAGUUUGCUUAAACUUUAUUCACUUGGAGUAGAAACUUCCUAGUUAAAUGAUUGAAAAGGACUAUGUCUGCAAAAUCUGUGAGAACAUGAGCUUCUGCAAAUGCAUAAUAGAAAUUCUCUCUUCCUUUUUUUUUUAAACUUUAUUUUUACAAACCUAGAUCUCUUCCUGCUUUGAUUUGUCUUUAUCAUAUCUUUCAGAACAAGCCUUUGAUGGAAUUCUAGGAAAGGUUGAGAUUAAGAAUAUAUUAAAAAUAUUCCACUUUGUACUUUCUGUUUAUAUUAUAGUAAACUAAGUUAGCAAGAUAAAAUUAGGACUUUCACCCAAGGUAUCAAUCAGAUGCAACCAUUAGUCCACUGAAGAAUUUACUUUUUAAAAAAGUUAGUGGAGGAAAGGAGAAGAUGCUGCUUAAGAGUAAUCAGAAAUAAAGAUGGUAAGCAUCAUAUGGUAAAUAUAUACAAGUUUCGUCAAUUAAAAAAAUACAAAGAUGGUAAGGCAUCUUUGAAAUUAAUUUGUUGUCAGUAGGAAAUUUCAUCUGAUAUAUAUAAAUUUUGUUUCAUAAAGCAAGGAGAAAUGGUGUAAAUAAUACAAGUGUGGCUAUUGACAUAUGAAAAUGUCCAUUUAUUUUGAAAGUGACUCCCCCCACAGAUUAUAUAUCGAAUACAAAUUUUCUCACUUCUUCCUUGCUUUGGCAUUUUUUAAAAAGUUACUUGAAAGUUCAGUUUAGAUUGAAAAAUAAGGGCCUGAUUAAUAGCGCUGUAUCAUGGUAUUAGAGUACAUAUGUUAGUAUUUUCAUGAAAGAGGAAGAGGGCAAUAACUGAUUUAUCAAUGAUUAAAAGAUAGUAGUGACAUUUUCCUUUGAAAGUUUGGGCUAGAAAUUUAUAACCUUUGGCCAAUGAAACUACAGUAGCUUCAGUCACUUCUUCCAUGCCACAUCUCUACCUAAAGGGAAGGUGGAAUCCGCCUUCUCUUUUUUUUUUUUGAGACUGAGUCUCACUCUGUCGCCCGGGCUGGAGUGCAGUGGCAUAAUCUUAGCUCACUGCAACUUCCACGUCUCAGGUUCAAGCAGUUCUCCUGCCUCAGCCUCCUGAGUAGCUGGGACUACAGGUGCCUGCCACCAUGCCUGGCUGAUUUUUGUCUUUUUAGUAGACAUGGGGUUUCACUGUGUUGGUCAUGCUGGUCUCGAGCUCUUGACCUCAGGUGAUCCACCCGUCUCAGCCUCCCAAAGUUCUGGGAGUACAGGCAUGAGCCAGCAUGCCCAGCCUGAAUCCCCGUUCUCAAAAGUAACUUCCAUUCACUUUGUCCCUGGCAGUCUGCUGGUGACCAUGAUUUCUAAGGCUUACUCAUGGGACCAAAGGCAAGAAGAAAGGGAGGAGGGUGGUAACCAGAUAAAUUUUGCAACCCUUUUGGUAUGACUUUUUGGGUGAGAAUUUUUAUGAAAAGUAAUACAUACUUCUACUAUAGAUCUGCCUCUAGUUUCAACCUCUGGUUUCAACACUGAUUUUUUCCCCUUAAUUUCCAGAAGCAUGAUGUAAUAUCUUUUUCAAAGAAAGUGGGAAGAAUGUCCACAGAUGUUAGAAGACAAUUAUGUAGGGAAAAUAUUUUCUCAAAUUAAAAUUUAAAACAAAAGUUUGCAGGGAAUGGAGUGGGGUUCAGCAUUAGGGAGGUAGGAGAUGAUAAAAAUACAUACUAAGUAAUUUGUAGCCUGAUAAUGCUUUGUAUGUAGAUUGCUUACAACUAACAUGAAAUGAGCAUUUCAUUCCUUAAGCAUGCAGUUGGGGAAAAAUGGGGAGCCAGGCUGGAUGCACAAAUUUGCACCAGACGCUCUGUAUGCAGGUAGCAGAAAUGACUAAUAGCACUGGUAUCCAUCAGUCCCAGAGCAAAAGCGUCUCCAGAGGAGAACAUCUGUAAAUCCCAAAUCUGAUCACCUUCAUCAUCAUUAGGCAACAGAUAGGAUAAGCCUUCAUGAAGAGAAUUUUGGUGGCUUUAGAUUGUUGAGAAAGUAUAUAUAGGAAAAAACUGGAAAUUAUGUUGAAGAUUUUUUGUCUAACUCCUUAUCCUGAUAUUGUUAACAUUUCACAACUAAAAUAAUUUUAACAGACACUUGAUUAGUUUUUAAAAAUGCAUUUUCAUGACCUGAGACUACAGAAAUUGCCAUUUUCUUAGGACGUAGUUUACAUUUGACUCUCUGCUUACUAUGUCCGGGGCAUCCCCAAAUUGGGAGAGAUUGCCAAGUCAGUUGCCAUUUUGCCUUACUUUUACCAAGGACUAGCCUACAGGUUCAGUUUUGCUCUUGACUGUGGCCCUGAAUUGAGAACUGAGUCAAGAGAACAGAGUGGAAGUAUGGAGACAAAGCCAGCAGCUUUACUCAAAAAAUAUAUAUGAGUCUAGUGUUUUUUUGUUUUUGAAAGACAUGUUAUUGAGCCCAACCCAGUCAGGGAUCACUGAAUAUUGGGUUAAAUAAAACAAUAAUGUUAUUCAUGUGUUUGAAAUUAGUAUUUUAAAGAACCAUGCACACACUUUAAAAUGUAACUGGAUUUGCUAUAUAGGCCAGAGAAAUAUGGCUGUUAACGAUGAAGGUGUAACUUGUCUGGUUCUUGAUUAUUUACACCAUCAGAGAAGAAUGCAAAUAUGAAUAGCUCAGAGUAGUUUAACUUUGAAGUGAGAGUUUAUAUGCACCUUUAUAUGUGGGAUAACUGAUGUCUUUGGAAUAGACUUCAAAUGAAUGAUAAAAACACCUGUAAAGUGAUAGGACCUCUACUUUUUCUCAUGUCCAAUGUUCAGUUUCUUAUAAACCAGGCAUGAAGAGAAACAAAAAAUAAUUAAUUCUCCAGAUCAUGAAGUUGUCUUCAACCUAAGCACAGAGGAAUAAUAAUUACAUUUCUCAGAAGUUCCCCCUGUUUUGAGUCUCAAGGGCAAUUGAGAUGUCAGUGAGGCUGUGAUUAAAUGUAUUGGAUAUUAGAGGAUUUUAAAUACAAACAAGUAUUAUAGGUGUUACCACUGACCCCGAAGGUAAGAUUUACUAUGAAAAUUUAUAAUGCGAGGAAGAAUGAUCAUUUUCAAAAUAUACACUUUGCAACUUAAGUUGGCUGUCACAACAACAAAAUAUUACAAACCAGGAUGUCUAAGAGCAGAAGUCUGUGGUUGCCAACUCUCAAACUUCUUAGCUUAAUCCAAUCUAGGAUGUAUUUCCACUCUGCAACAAACAGUAUUUAUUUUUGCCUUAUUUGCAGAUAACAGUUUUAAUGCAGGUACUGCCCACGGAUUAGCUUUGAGCAGUGUCUUUUUACUUUGGUUUCAUUUGUUUGGUUUGUUUUGAGACUGAGUCUCACUCAGUCCUCCAGGCUGGAGUGCAGUGGUGCGACCUUGGCUCACUGCAACCUCUGCCUCCCGGGUUCAAGUGAGUCUCCUGCCUCAGCCUCCUAAGUAGCUGGGACUACAGGCGUGAGCCACCGUGCCCGGCCAAGCAGUAUCUUUUUGCUUUGAAAGUAACUUACAUGUACAUUUGUUUUCAUUGUGAAUGUUUCUUUUUAACUGCAAACCAAGAAACAUUGAGCCCAGCAUUCAUAUAUUUGCAAACUCUGUCUUAAUUUCUCAGUUUUUUUCCUCAGAAAAAAAUGCAAUUCCUUUUCUUUUUUAAAUUUAAUUUUGCUUUAUUUUUCUUUAUAAAGUGAAGAGUAGGUAGCAUGAAUUCUUCUUGCCCUUUGCUAUUUCAGUCUGGCAUCAGUAGCAAUUGUUGCUAUGUCCAGUUUUCAUUCAUGGAUUUUUCUGGGAUUGAAGAUGUAUUGAGUUCAUUGUUGAUUAUUUAAUUGGGCAGUAUAAGUAAAUUCAUUGGCUCUCCUUCCAGUUUAGUGAAUACUGAAUAUCAUCCAUGAUAUUUUAUAUUUCUUACACUUCUGGAAUGCUAACCUGAAAAUAGAAGUUGUAAGUCAGGGACGGUGGUAUGUUCCUCUAGUCUCAGCUAGUUGGGAGGCUGAGGCUUGAGCCCAGGCCUUCAUGGCUGUAGUGUACAAUGACUGUACUUGUGAAUAGCCACUGCACUCCAGCCUGGGCAACAUAGCAAGACUCUCCCACCCCUUAAGAAAAAAGAGAAGAGAGAAAAAAAUAGAAGUUGUGGAGAGGGAGGAGGAUACUUGAAUACUUUGACCAUACUUGGCAUAAUAGACAUUUUGAGGGUUUUUUUUUUCUUCUUAAAAUUCCUCUGGAUCAAUUUUCAUUGUUUCUAGUAAUUAUAUUUAUUGUUAAUGAAUUCAUAUUCUGCUCUAGCCCCUAAAGAUAGUUUGAUACGCUAACUUUUGUUUUGCCUUUCUAGCUGCUAAGAUAGAUAAUGGUUAUUGCAAAAUGCACGUUUUUAAAUGGUCUCCAGUGUGGAUUGCUUCUGAGCUGCUGAUGGAUUGAAUACAUUGAGAAGGAAUGUGUCAUUUGGAAUCCAGGACCAGUCAGCAAGGAUAACUGCCUGAUUUUAUGAUUUCGUGACUGAUGCUGAAAUGGAAGCCAACCACUGCAGAAAUUUGGGGGAAAAUGAGAUCUGAAGAAUACAAGGGGAAGUAGGAAUUCAUUUCUAGCAUUUCCAAACCUGCUUUAUCGUGUCUGCUCCACCACAGUCAGAGGAAAAGACUGAGUUCAUGGAAAUUACCAGCUAAGCCUUACAUCUGUCUUUAAUGUUUUUAGGAAGUAUACUGAAAAGGUAAGUGAGAUGUCUGUUUCGAAGAAAGACUCUUACUAGGUACCUUAAAACCAGUUGUUUCCUAUUAGUAAAGAUGGGCAACUUCUUUAUUCCUAGCUUCAAAAAGCCUUGCCCCGGCUCGGUGUGUUUCUCAGUAUUAUGGAGAAGGUAGUUUCUGAGCAAGGUGGUGCUUUUCCUCUGCUUCUCAGCAGCUAAGACAGAAAUUGCACCGAAGUGUACAAAGUGUCAAUUUUUGUUGUCCUGUUGUGCUCAAAUCCUUUUUUUAAAAAAGUUAUUUCAAUCGAGUCUUAGUUUUAUUCCUCACUAUAUAGGAAAAAAAUCUUUAAUGCCUCAAAGUUCCAGUCAGAAUUACAUUUGCAUUACUCUUAUUUGCAGCAAAUAUGAGUAAAAUUAUAGGUUUUUAAAGGUCUCUAAUAACAUCCACUUAUAUUGGUUUUGUAGAUAAUCCAUAAAUUACCAGAAAUAAAUUAUUCCACAUUUAUUACACACCCAUGUAAUAAGUGUAGUGCCAGGCCCUGGAAUAAACUAAUGGUAUCACCUCAUGUGGUAAAAAGACACAUUCCACCAUCCUGGAGUAUACAAAGGUAGACUAGCAUAUAGUUCGUGUGCUCAAGGAGUUCAUUUUUAUUGACAUGAUACAGAUAGAAUUGUAGUUUACGGAAUCAAAAUCUAAUAAAAUGAGGCUAAUUCCAUUUUCCCGUUAACACUAAUAACUAGUGUGUAAAUCUGAAUAUGACACAUUCUAUAUGAAAGAAGCUCUGUUUGUGUGUGCAUCUACACUAAAUACUUUGUGUGUGCCAGGUACUGUUUUAAAGUACAUGUAUUUUUUUAAUUCUCAUAACUGUUCUCUGAGGUAAGUACUAAUACUAAAGCUUAUUGUCAAACGAAGGCAGAAAAAUUAAGUAACUUGGCCUAAGUGUGCAUAACUAUGAUCUGGGAUCAAUAUUUGAACCCAUACAGGCUGAUUGCAGAGCCUGCACUCUUAAUUUGAGUGUGAUAUUUAUGUGCAGUACCUGGCUAUAAGUACCCACAAAACAUGUCAAAUUCUUUAUAAAAUUUGCUUAGUUAAAAAAGUACCAAUUGCAUAAUAUGAUUAUAAGUCUAGUAGAAGUUAGGCUUUUUACAAGACAUGCUGCUUACUGCACCAAGGAGGCAAGAAGGCUUUUUAGAGAGCCCAAAAUUUCCUUUCUUCAACUCCUGCUUCCAAGACAGUCAUUUUGCAUGAUAACCGUUUCCCCAAAAAACACAGACACAAAAUUUAAAGAACUGGAACAGAGGAAGCAGAGCUUAUUAUUGUAUAUAUAUAUUUAGUACCCUGUCACUUAGGUCCACCCCGCUUUCUUUGUGGAUUGUGGACAUUUUGUUUAACUGCUAAAUCAUGAGAAUAUAUGACUGCUGAGACUUUUCCAAGGAUUUUUUUAAAAACACAUUAGGCUUCGUGCAGAAGUAAAGAAAAAGUGCUCUGAGAACCCCAGGUAGGUAAUUUACUUCCUGUUGUACGCAUUGUUUGAAACCUCUUCACCUCUAUCCCUUAUUGUUUUAUACUCUGUAAAUCUGAUUUUACCUUUAAUAAACUUUUCUGAAGUGAGUGAGUUUUUUUGUCUUAUUUCCCAUUAGAUUCUCUACCUUCUUUGUUCACUUUAUGUAUGUUAUUGCCACUCCCUUCAAAACUGGUGGUUUAAUUAAAGUGACAGCAUCUUCUAUAUACCUAGUACUGUUGAGGAUUAAAAAAUACAUGUGUGCCGGAUGUGGUGGCACACACCUAUAAUCCUAGCACUUUGGGAGGCCUCAGGCAGGAGGAUUGCUUGAGCUAAUGAGUUCGAGACCAGCCUGGUCAACGUGGCAAAACCCCAUCUCUACUAAAAAGUCAAAAAGUUAACUGGGCAUGGUGCACCUCUCACCCCAGCUACUUGGGAGGCUAAGAGGUGGGAGGGUCACUUGAUCCUGGGAGGUCAAGGCUGCAGUGAGCUGAGAACAAGCCACUGCACUCCAGCCUGGGUGACAGAGUGAGACCCUGUCUCAAAAGAAAAAAGAAAAAGUGCCAAGGCUUUGCUCCUAGUUCAAUGCAGGUUCCACCCAGUACUAAAACUUUGCAAAUUUUUGAGGGAAAAACCGGAAGUUGUAGAAUCAAUAUGAGCAUUGAAUUAUAUAGCAAGCAAUUGUGGCAGAAAAAAUUCACCCUAGUGAAAUCAAGUUAACUAUUCUGUGAAUGAGAUUAACCAGAGGAACAAUUUUGACCAUGUAACUUUUAAAUCACUGUUUCUCAAACUUCAGUGUGUAUGGGAAUCACCAGGGAUCUUGUUAAAAUGCAGAUUUUGAUUUAGUAGGUCUGGGGUCAACCUGGAGAAUUUGAAUUUAUUUUCUCUUUUUUUAAAAGUAGUUUGAAACUUUAAAACUGUCCAAUUAACUGUUUUUUAGCAUGUAGAGUUGUUCCACUAUCACCAUUCUAAUUUCAGGACAUUUUCACCAUGCUGAAAAAGAAACCUUGUACCUGUCACUCCCCAUCCCCCUCUCCCUUCCACCCUUUUCCCCUCCACCAGCAUCUGGCAACCGUUAAUCCACUUUCUGCCUUAAUUUACAUCUUCUGGACAUUUCAUACGUUUUAUAGACUUCUGUACCUGGCGUCUUUCACUUAGUGUUCAAGGUUCAUCCAUGUUGUAGCAUGUAUCAGUACUUCAUUCCUUUUUGUGGCUGAAUAAUACUCCAUUGUAUGGAUAUAGCACAUUUUCUGUGUCCCUGCAUCAGUUUCCAUUUUUUGGCUAUUAUGGGUAAUACAGCUAUGAACAUUUAUGUACAAGAUUUUGUGUGAAAGUAUGUUUUCAUUUCUGUUGGGAAUAUACCUAGGAGUGGAAUUAUUGGGUCAUAUGGUAACUAACAUUUUGAAGAACCGGGAAACUAUUUUCUAAGGUGGCUGGACCAUUUGAGAGUCUGCAUUCCUGACAGGCAUCCAGGUGAUACUGAAUAGCAGACUGUAGAUUACAUUUUGACAUCUAUCAAGAAAACAGGAACAUGAACUUUAACUGAGUUCAGCUGCCAAAAUCUGGCCAGCAGCAAAGAAGGUGGAGUGGUUUUGGUUUUCACAGGGCCUUGGUACCUCCGAUUUUCUACCAUUAGUCUUAAUGUACCUGGGCUUAUUGUUCUAGCCUUCGAACUCUUCAUGUAAAUUGAUAUAUCUGCUAUCAAAAAAGAAAAA